UGGGGAAUAUUGGACAAUGGGGGCAACCCUGAUCCAGCAAUGCCGCGUGUGUGAAGAAGGCCUUCGGGUUGUAAAGCACUUUAGGCGGGGAAGAAGGUUGGUAUUUUAAGAGAUAACUAACUUGACGGUACCCGCAGAAUAAGCACCGGCUAACUCUGUGCCAGCAGCCGCGGUAAUACAGAGGGUGCAAGCGUUAAUCGGAUUUACUGGGCGUAAAGGGCGCGUAGGUGGUUACUUAAGUGAGAUGUGAAAUCCCCGGGCUUAACCUGGGAACUGCAUCUUAUACUGGGUAACUGGAGUGCAAUAGAGGGUAGUGGAAUUUCCGGUGUAGCGGUGAAAUGCGUAGAUAUCGGAAGGAACACCAGUGGCGAAGGCGGCUACCUGGAUUGACACUGACACUGAGGCGCGAGAGCGUGGGGAGCAAACAGGAUUAGAUACCCCCGUAGUCC
rnacentral:rRNA from 1 species